UAACACAUGCAAGUCGAAUGGUAACAGGAAACAGCUUGCUGUUUCGCUGACGAGUGGCGGACGGGUGAGUAAUGUCUGGGAAACUGCCUGAUGGAGGGGGAUAACUACUGGAAACGGUAGCUAAUACCGCAUAACGUCGCAAGACCAAAGAGGGGGACCUUCGGGCCUCUUGCCAUCAGAUGUGCCCAGAUGGGAUUAGCUAGUAGGUGGGUAACGGCUCACCUAGGCGACGAUCCCUAGCUGGUCUGAGAGGAUGACCAGCCACACUGGAACUGAGACACGGUCCAGACUCCUACGGGAGGCAGCAGUGGGGAAUAUUGCACAAUGGGCGCAAGCCUGAUGCAGCCAUGCCGCGUGUAUGAAGAAGGCCUUCGGGUUGUAAAGUACUUUCAGCGGGGAGGAAGGGAGUAAAGUUAAUACCUUUGCUCAUUGACGUUACCCGCAGAAGAAGCACCGGCUAACUCCGUGCCAGCAGCCGCGGUAAUACGGAGGGUGCAAGCGUUAAUCGGAAUUACUGGGCGUAAAGCGCACGCAGGCGGUUUGUUAAGUCAGAUGUGAAAUCCCCGGGCUCAACCUGGGAACUGCAUCUGAUACUGGCAAGCUUGAGUCUCGUAGAGGGGGGUAGAAUUCCAGGUGUAGCGGUGAAAUGCGUAGAGAUCUGGAGGAAUACCGGUGGCGAAGGCGGCCCCCUGGACGAAGACUGACGCUCAGGUGCG
rnacentral:rRNA from 1 species